rnacentral:rRNA from 1 species
UGUAAGCGUAUACCAAAGUUGUUGCAGUUAAAACGCUCGUAGUCGGAAUUUGGCAGUUCCGGAUGUGUGCACGUCGUGUGCGCACUUCGCGGGGAUUGCUUUUGUGGUCUUGCGUAGGAUGAGGCACUUUUAUUAGUGAACGUCCUCACGCAACCACUUUUUACUGUGAGAAAAUCAGAGUGCUCAAAGCAGGCAUUUGCCGUGAAUGUAUUAGCAUGGAAUAAUAGAAUAGGACUUGGUUCUAUUUUGUUGGUUUGUUGGGACUGAGUAAUGAUUAAGAGGGACAGUUGGGGGCAUUAGUAUUUCGGUGCUAGAGGUGAAAUUCUUAGAUUACCGAAAGACAAACUGCUGCGAAAGCGUCUGCCAAGGAUGUUUUCAUUGA